UCCAUGCUUCCAAGAAAAGCAUCUAGAGAGAGAAGUAGUGCCCGUACCGCAAACCGACACAGGUAGAUGAGGAGAGAAUCCUAAGGCCGGCGGAAGAAUUGCAGUUAAGGAACUAGGCAAAUUGACCCCGUAAGUUCGCGAGAAGGGGUGCCUGUGAGAGCAGGCCGCAGAGAAUAGGCCCAAGCAACUGUUUAGCAAAAACACAGGUCUCUGCUAAAGCGUAAGCUGAUGUAUAGGGGCUGACGCCUGCCCGGUGCUGGAAGGUUAAGGGGAACACUUAGCGCAAGCGAAGGUGUGAACUUAAGCCCCAGUAAACGGCGGCCGUAACAAUAACGGUCCUAAGGUAGCGAAAUUCCUUGUCAGGUAAGUUCUGACCCGCACGAAUGGCGUAAUGACUUGGGCACUGUCUCAACUGCAAAUCCGGCGAAGUUGUAGUGCGAGUGAAGAUGCUCGCUACCCGCGAUUGGACGGAAAGACCCCGUAGAGCUUUACUGUAGCUUAGCAUUGAAUUCCGGUAUUGUCUGUACAGGAUAGGUGGGAGACUGGGAAACUAGGGCGUCAGCCUUAGUGGAGUCAACCUUGGGAUACCACCCUGACAGUACUGGGGUUCUAACAGGACGCCAUGAAACUGGUGACUGGACAUUGUUAGGUGGGCAGUUUGACUGGGGCGGUCGCCUCCUAAAAAGUAACGGAGGCGCCCAAAGGUUCCCUCAGAACGGUCGGAAAUCGUUCGUAGAGUGCAAAGGCAGAAGGGAGCCUGACUGCGAGACCCACAAGUCGAGCAGGGACGAAAGUCGGGCUUAGUGAUCCGGUGGUACCUCGUGGGAGGGCCAUCGCUCAACGGAUAAAAGCUACCUCGGGGAUAACAGGCUGAUCUCCCCCAAGAGUCCACAUCGACGGGGAGGUUUGGCACCUCGAUGUCGGCUCGUCGCAUCCUGGGGCUGUAGUAGGUCCCAAGGGUUGGGCUGUUCGCCCAUUAAAGCGGCACGCGAGCUGGGUUCAGAACGUCGUGAGACAGUUCGGUCCCUAUCCGUCGCGGGCGUAGGAAAUUUGAGAGGAGCUGUCCUUAGUACGAGAGGACCGGGAUGGACUGACCUCUGGUGCACCAGUUGUUCUGCCAAGAGCAUAGCUGGGUAGCUAAGUCGGGAAGGGAUAAACGCUGAAAGCAUCUAAGCGUGAAGCCCCCCUCAAGAUGAGAUUUCCCAUAGCAUAAGCUAGUAAGACCCCUUGAAGAACACAAGGUUGAUAGGUCAGAGGUGGAAGUGCGGUAACGUAUGUAGCUGACUGAUACUAAUAGGUCGAGGGCUUGAUC
rnacentral:rRNA from 1 species